UACGUAGGGGGCAAGCGUUGUCCGGAAUCAUUGGGCGUAAAGAGCGCGUAGGCGGCCCUGUAAGUCCGCUGUGAAAGUCAAGGGCUCAACCCUUGGAUGCCGGUGGAUACUGCAGGGCUAGAGUCCGGAAGAGGCGAGUGGAAUUCCUGGUGUAGCGGUGAAAUGCGCAGAUAUCAGGAGGAACACCGAUGGCGAAGGCAGCUCGCUGGGACGGUACUGACGCUGAGGCGCGAAGGCCAGGGGAGCAAACGGG
rnacentral:rRNA from 1 species